GGAUGAACGCUAGCUACAGGCUUAACACAUGCAAGUCGAGGGGCAGCAUGAAGUUUGCUUGCAAACUUUGAUGGCGACCGGCGGAUGGUGAGUAACGCGUACCAACCUGCCCCCUUCCCGGGCACAGCCCUUGGAAACGAGGAUUAACGCCCGAUGGCGUCUGGAUGCCGCAUGGCAUUCCGACCAAAUGCGAAGGAAGGGGAUGGGGGUGCGUCCCAUUAGCUAGUUGCGGGUAACGGCCCACCAAGGCAUCGAUGGGUAGGGGUUCUGAGAGGAAGGUCCCCCACACUGGAACUGAGACACGGUCCAGACUCCUACGGGAGGCAGCAGUGAGGAAUAUUGGUCAAUGGAGGCAACUCUGAACCAGCCAAGUAGCGUGAGGGAUGACUGCCCUACGGGUUGUAAACCUCUUUUGUCGGGGAAUAAACUGCGCCACGUGUGGCGCCCUGCAUGUACCCGCAGAAUAAGGACCGGCUAAUUCCGUG
rnacentral:rRNA from 1 species